AGCAGCCGCGGUAAUUCCAGCUCCAAUAGCGUAUAUUAAAGUUGUUGCAGUUAAAAAGCUCGUAGUUGAAUUUCGAGAUCAAUUUGUUGGUCGUGCCUCGGUACGUACUGGCAAUUUUGAUUUCUCCCUUCUGAAGAAUCAUGAUGUCAUUAAUUUGGUGUCAUGGGGAAUCAGGACCGUUACUUUGAAAAAUUAGAGUGUUUAAAGCAGGCUCGCGCUUGAAUACAUUAGCAUGGAAUAAUGAAAUAGGACGUUUGAUUCUAUUUUGUUGGUUUCUAGGAUCGACGUAAUGAUUAAUAGGGAUAGUUGGGGGCAUUAGUAUUCAAUUGUCAGAGGUGAAAUUCUUGGAUUUAUUGAAGACUAACUACUGCGAAAGCAUUUGCCAAGGAUGUUUUCAUUAAUCAAGAACGAAAGUUAGGGGAUCGAAGACGAUCAGAUACCGUCGUAGUCUUAACCAUAAACUAUGCCGACUAGGGAUCGGAUGAUGUUAAUUUUUAAUGA
rnacentral:rRNA from 1 species